rnacentral:rRNA from 1 species
CCUACGGGAGGCAGCAGUGGGGAAUAUUGGGCAAUGGGGGAAACCCUGACCCAGCGACGCCGCGUGGGGGACGAAGGCCCUCGGGUUGUAAACCCCUUUCGGCAGGGAAGAAGCCGCAAGGUGACGGUACCUGCAGAAGAAGCCCCGGCUAACUACGUGCCAGCAGCCGCGGUAAU